GUAAAAUGGGCUAUUUCUAGACAUUGCCAUUCAAAAAGAAGGAAACCUAUCAAGAAGUGCAGAAAAGGUGCUCAACUUAAAUUAAUCUCAACUGUUUUUAUAUUAAAUCUAAUAUCAGAAGAUGGUAACUGUAAACUAUAGAUCUAAUGGAGGAAGGAAUAGCCAAACUGA